rnacentral:misc_RNA from 1 species
AUGAACUUGUGGUUGUUGCUGGCUAGUGUCUCUAGCAUGUGCACACGCACCUUCAUCCCACUUACACCUGUGCACCUUUUGUAGUAUGGUUGUGAAAAGGGGGGGUUUGGUCUUGUAGACUGGGGGACCCCUUUGGAUCUACUUACUACGUAUUUUUAUACAUACACAAAAAUAGUCAUUGAAUGUCCAUUUGAUUUUAUAUUGAAAAAAA